CACGUAGGGCGCAAGCGUUGUCCGGAAUUAUUGGGCGUAAAGAGCUCGUAGGCGGUCUGUUGCGUCUGCUGUGAAAACCCGGGGCUUAACCCCUGGCUUGCAGUGGAUACGGACAGACUAGAGGUAGGUAGGGGAGAAUGGAAUUCCCGGUGUAGCGGUGAAAUGCGCAGAUAUCGGGAAGAACACCCGUGGCGAAGGCGGUUCUCUGGGACGGUACUGACGCUGAGACGCGAAGGCCAGGGGAGCAAACGGG
rnacentral:rRNA from 1 species